rnacentral:rRNA from 1 species
ACCCUACAGGAGGCAGCAGUGGGGAAUAUUGCACAAUGGGGGGAACCCUGAUGCAGCGACGCCGCGUGGGUGAAGGAGUAUUUCGGUAUGUAAAGCCCUAUCAGCAGGGAAGAACAAUGACGGUACCUGACUAACAAGCAUCGGCUAACUCCGUGCCAGCAGCCGCGGUAAUACGGAGGAUGCGAGCGUUAUCCGGAUUUAUUGGGUUUAAAGGGUGCGCAGGCGGCACGGCAAGCCGGCGGUCAAAUCGCGGGGCUCAACCCCGCCCAGCCGUCGGAACUGCCGGGCUAGAGUGGGCGAGAAGG